rnacentral:rRNA from 1 species
GCCAGACUCCUACGGGAGGCAGCAGUGGGGAAUAUUGCACAAUGGGGGAAACCCUGAUGCAGCGACGCCGCGUGAGUGAAGAAGUAUUUCGGUAUGUAAAGCUCUAUCAGCAGGGAAGAAAUAGCGACCUUUGGGUCGCCAGACGGUACCUGACUAAGAAGCCCCGGCUAACUACGUGCCAGCAGCCGCGGUAAUACGUAGGGGGCAAGCGUUAUCCGGAUUUACUGGGUGUAAGGGGAGCGUAGACGGCAGCACAAGUCUGAAGUGAAAUGCCGGGGCUUAACCCCGGAACUGCUUUGGAAACUGUGCAGCUAGAGUGCAGGAGAGGUAAGUGGAAUUCCUAGUGUAGCGGUGAAAUGCGUAGAUAUUAGGAAGAACACCGGAGGCGAAGGCGGCUUACUGGACUGUAACUGACGCUGAGGCUCGAAAGCGUGGGGAGCAAACAGGAUUAGAUACCCGAGUAA